GGUACAUCCCACUUAAAGGUAUCCUUUGUGGAUGAAGGCAUCCUCAUACAGUGCAGAGGUUCCCCAGCUGCUCCUUUGCUCACCUUGCAGAGCAGCUGGGACAAGGAGAUAAGCUAGGAUCAGGGAGGCAGCUGCAGCACCUGGUAUGAUAUGAUGAUAUGAUAUCAUAUGGUAUGAUGCCUUGGGCAUUUUAGGGUCGUUGCAACAGAUAGACCUAUGGAUCACUCACCUUAACCAAAAGUGGUCUGUCCAGUAAAUGACAACCAGAAGAAACAAGUAGUCCAGAUUUUGGAGUGUGUGCUCCCUUACUCUCUUCUUGUAAGUGCUGGUUUUGCUAUAUAAGAAUGUGUGGAUUUGGAUCCUCUCCUAAAACACUGAAGGAAAGCAUGCAAAUAUAAAUCAGCUGAGUACAGAAAUCAUGAAAACCACCAUUCUCAGCCAGUGGAGGAAGCUGACAAAAGAUUUACCAGUAACCACUGCAAGUUCAGAAAAUCAGUGGCAUGUUACUCUCUGCCACCACAACAUAUCCACAAGCAGAUUUUGAAGGGCCACAAAAAUUUUCCAAGGAAUGGGACACUUAUCCUAUGAGGACAGGCUGAGCUGGAGAAGAGAAGGCUCAGAGGAGACCUGAUAGUGGCCUUUCGGUAUCUAAAGGGGGGCUAUAAGAAAGAAGGGAACAGACUCUUUAGCAAGAUAUGUGGUGACAGCACAAGUGGAAAUGGUUUCAAACUAAAAGAGGGGAGAUUUAGGUUGGAUAUAAGGAAAAAGCCUUUUACAGUGAGGGUGGUGAGGCAUUGGAACAGGUUGCCCAGAGAUGUGGAUGCCCCAUCCCUGGAGACCUCUGAUACUACUAGAAGUACUAGAAAAGUUAAUAGCAACCUGAUUUCCCUUUUUAUGCUGGGAAUGUUGGCCACUGCAGUACUGGAUGAGCCCAUUCAUGCUCAUCACAGCACUGCGCAUAUCCCACCUGUGGUGAGGUUCCUCACUGCUGUGGUCUGUAGAGCUCUCACAGUGUUUCCAUAAAAGUAAACAACAGAAUUUAUGAUCUUCACUAUUAGUUAAAGGAAAGCCUCAUGCUGACAUGCUGCUUUGUCUCAAGACAAAGUGUGAAUAUGGUAUCAUCCACGUGUGUUGUGUGGGAACCACAUACAGCUUCCAUAGAAGUUAGUCCAGCAGUCACUAGGGCUCACUGAAAGUGGUAAACUCCUAGUCAUCUCUAUAGGAAUGAGGUAAAGUCACAGGGUGGACUUAUGCUACUCAUGCUAACAUAGAUGCCACUACAACCAAAAACUGUCCUCUACUGAGAUUUGGCUUGAAAUCACUGUCUCCUCAUUACUGUUUUCUGCCCACUGCACAGAUAAAGCAAAUCAGGAAUUCUGCUGUAUCUCAGAAGCCCACUUCCUUGUGUGGAUGAAAGAAAAUGCCACAUUCUAUGAAAAUCAAUUAGUUACUGGAACAAUUUUAGCAGGAAUUUAGCAGGAAUUUAGCAGAACUGACAGGUAAAAUAGCAAUGUCCAUUCUGCGUGCCUUUGAAAACAGCUGUCAAGGAAGAUGAAAAAAGUAAGCUUUAAACAGCACUGUAUUGCAUGGAGCUCUCAGUCAUGCUUUGUUCCUGUUGCACUGCUCUGGCACAAAUGGGCUGUCCAACCAGCUGAAAAUGCUGAUCACCUUCAAGGGAUAGAUAAAAACAGUUUCUUCUUGACAAGCCAGAGAGCAUUUCUCACUUCUGUAUCUUGCCUAUAGCAGCAAUGGGGAAAGAUCUUCCACCUCUGGGCACUGAUUUCUGUACUAAUGAAUGUGCAGGUAGCCCAGCUGCAAUCACAGUGCACUCCACCAUAGGCAGAAAUUGCAAGUGAGCUCAGUACAUCCCCAUUUUUGAAACUAAAUUGCAUAAUUUACCAACUUCUGUUUUUUCUUCCUAUUAGCUGCUUGAGUUGACCAGUCAGACCAAUUCUGCUACCAAGCUCACUCUUGACUAAAAUUACAAUACAAUUAGAGGCCUUUAGAAUGAUGCUCCGCUUUACACAUACUUAAGCUCUGAUUUACAGAAUGCAGAUAAAAUGGUGAUCUAGAUCCUUUCUACUUCUGUGUAUUGUAUCUAGCGGACAUUUCAAAAUCCUAGCCUGAUAUCAAACCUUCCUGUCAGUGAGGUAGAUGGCAGAUGAUGUCUCACAUAGGCAUUUAGACAGGCUGAGAAAGACUGAAACCAUUUAGGAGAUUCUGAACAGCCUUAUUUUUGCCUCUUGUACUGUCUAGAGCCCCAUUUGAAGUGGAAGUCAUACCUACUAGAAACUUUUUGUCUUUUCAUAACUUUUUGCACAGGAAAGAAAGGACAAUGAAUUACAUACAGUUUUGCUCCAGAGUGCAUCUCCAUUUCAGUCCCAAAAUAUGGACACUCUCCUAACAUGGAUCUUCAGAUAGACAAUCUGAUCAUAGUAUUAUUUAUUUUAAGUACUUUAUUGACAUGUACAUGAUCAUGGUCUACUAUAUCCUUGUUAGCUAUUGUGGGCCAAAAGAGAAGUAAAACCUCAAGAUUAGCUCAGGAUUGCUGUGCUGCUUUAGGUAUAAUUCCCCUUGAAAUACAUGGCAGUCAGACACUUCGGUAGGGCUGACUCUGAAUUGGUAACAGUGAAGGUUCUCUACAUUUAGUGAUUGCACAAGGAGACUCCUGCUUCAUGUCAGUCAGUGUGCCAAGCUUUGCAGCUUCCUUCAUGUGUGGACUUGGGGACAGUAGUACCAUUCCAACUUAACACUACAAGAAGGUAAAUGACAGAUUAUUGAAACUUCAUAAAUCUAUCUUCAUUUUAUUUGUCAUAUUUCUACCAAAGCCACCUUUGGACAACAACCACAAAGAGCAGAGGGCUGACAAUUCUGCUUUGGUGGCUGUCCCCCAUUGCUGAUACAAACCUUUUUUAACCCACACAAUUCAGUGUGGGUAGAAACGAUGCACAGUCUUCCAGGAAGCUUCUCAUCUGCUAUUCACCUCCUUCAGAAGGAAAGGCUUUUUCUGCAUGCAUUUUAAACAAUGGAUGAAACUAAGCCUGAAGACUGUUUUUUCCUUAUGCAAAAUGAAUGAAUAAUUAAUUGUCCAGGGAGUUAUCUGUGUAGUUCCCAUCUCUGAGAAAUGCUGGCAACUGAUGAAGUCCUCAAGUCUGAAAAUGCUUCAUGAACAUGAGUACAGUCUCUGCAUGAAUAUUUAUGUCAUAUUCCACAUCGUAUUCAGCCUGUAAUCCCGCUGUUGCUGAAGCAUGCAGCUAGUAGUUCCAAAGCUGAUAAUUUAUGGCACAUGUGAUGACAAUACAUUUAAAAUAAUGCACAUGAUGUGAUUGCCUGUAAUUUCAAUGGAAUAAUGGGCAAUUAUACACACACGGCAUGUAUUAGACUAGCUGUAAAAGAGUCAGGGGGGUGGGUUGCAAAUAUUGUAAAUGAACAAUAUUCAAAAUUUGGCAAGUGCUAAUAGAGCCAUUAAAACAGCUGAAGGAAAAAAAAGAAGUGUUCCAUACAAUCAGAGUGUUUAAAACCAUGCAGACCUUGACACAUAAGCUUUAUUUCUUGUUCAGGAAACUCAGUAGUGUUACCACCCCUGUCACUGUGACCUGGUCUCUUUCUCAUCCACGCUCCUGCUAAGCUAUCUCACUAAUAUUCCCUAUUCAGGUGUUCUAGCAGCAUGCUCAUUCAUCUGCCCUAUCAAAUUCUAAUGGGUGCCUUAAGAUAGACCCAGCUUAACAGCAAGCCAAAAAAAACCCAAAAAGGUUCCCCAUAUCUCCUGCAGACUCUCCACGAUUUUCCAAGACAGACUUCUUCAAAAAAGCCCUCAGGUCUGGAAGUGUCUUUUCUAAAUAUAGAAAACUUUUUGUGGCUGGUUAGAAUCCUUGUUCUAACGCUAAGGGACGUCCCAUUCUUAUGUGGAAAGUGCAUGGCACAUUCUGGGUUUAUUUCAGUUCUGAUAGAGUAUAUGAAGGGACAGGCCUUAUGUAGCAGGAUAAAGUUGUUCCAGUGUCUUUUGCAAGAGGAAUGAACUCAAAUUCCCAGUAUACUUCAUUGUUGCUUCCUAGCUAUAGGUGCUAUAAAGCAAAUGCAGUUAAUGAGUAAUGGGCUUGAGGUUGCUUUUGGUGAAGAUUCAAAUGGUCAGAAACUUUCACAGCAAUCAACUUAAUGACUGCAUAAAACUGAUCUACAAAUCUCACAAGUACUAUCACUGCAAAGUCAGCAAUUCAAAUGUGUGGUACCGCAAAGUAAGUUCCUGACGUCUUCUACUCCUGACAGUAGAAAAAGCAGAUGGAUAAAGAGAAAAAAUAGCCUUGGAAUUGAGCAGAAGUAGAAUAUUUGUUAUGAAAACAGUGGCCAAAGGAGAGAGAUCCAAGAAGUGUCUCAUCUGAGGGCAAAUCUUCAGUCUGCAUUCACAUAUUUGUAGAUGUGAGAGAAACGGGAGAAGAAAUGUAAGAGGCAGGAAAAACUUCUGUUGAUUUUUUGUUUGUUUGUUUGUUUGUUUUGUUGUUGUUGUUGUUGUUUGCAUUGUCAAAUGCAGUCCAUGAGGAGACACAAGAAUCCAGCAAUUCUGAUAUUCAUGGUGAAUAUGCUGAACCCACUGAAAUUUACUCAGCUGACUUUGGGAAUUGCUGCAAUUUGACUUUGAGAUGAAGCCUUGGAUAGGCCAUGAAGUAACUCAGGCUGGUUAAUCUGUUUUCUUCUACACUCUUUCUUGACACAUUUUUCGUGAAAGACAUUAAUGAUACACAGUGUAUGUAAGGAGUCAAAAUUCCAGUACUACCACAUAUAUCUGCAGAAAUAUAGAAUCCACAUCUCAGUGGACCUUUUGAAAAAUGGGAAUAGACCCCAGCUGAAUUUCUUGAUCAUCAGAGUCGCAAAAUGUGUUCUCCAGGAAUUGCCUUGUGCUCAAGAGUCGGGAUGCUCCAGCCGCUAUCUUUGAGGAAAGGACAGCCCUCCUGGGGCCUUAGCCACCACCUUGGGUGGUUUCCCCGCUAAGGCACAUGUCCUAAAAGCAGAUAUUCACUUGUAGAUAUGACGCUUUUUGUGAAGAGGAACUAGUUUUAUGUAGCUCACUCACACCUGGAAGGAAAAGAUACACCAUUUUGUGAUCAUUUCAGAAAUAGUGCCCUUGAAGACGGUACAUUUGGAAAUGACAUUAUUUCC
ensembl:lncRNA